rnacentral:rRNA from 1 species
UACGUAGGGUGCAAGCGUUGUCCGGAAUUAUUGGGCGUAAAGAGCUCGUAGGCGGUCUGUCGCGUCUGCUGUGAAAACUCGGGGCUUAACCCCAGGCCUGCAGUGGGUACGGGCAGACUAGAGUGCGGUAGGGGAGACUGGAAUUCCUGGUGUAGCGGUGAAAUGCGCAGAUAUCAGGAGGAACACCGGUGGCGAAGGCGGGUCUCUGGAACGGUACUGACGCUGAGACGCGAAAGCGUGGGGAGCGAACAGG